UGUGUGCAUGUCCUCUGAAGAUGCAUGUGUACAUGUGUGUGCAUGUGCAUGUACAUACAUACACACAGACCCAUAAACAUGCA
rnacentral:miRNA from 1 species